rnacentral:rRNA from 1 species
UACGGAGGGGGCUAGCGUUGUUCGGAAUUACUGGGCGUAAAGCGCGCGUAGGCGGAUCUUUAAGUCAGAGGUGAAAUCCUGGAGCUCAACUCCAGAACUGCCUUUGAUACUGGAGAUCUUGAGUCCGGAAGAGGUUAGUGGAAUUCCCAGUGUAGAGGUGAAAUUCGUAGAUAUUGGGAAGAACACCAGUGGCGAAGGCGGCUAACUGGUCCGGUACUGACGCUGAGGUGCGAAAGCGUGGGGAGCAAACAGG